rnacentral:rRNA from 1 species
GAUGAACGCUGGCGGCGUGCCUAAUACAUGCAAGUCGAGCGAACAGACGAGGAGCUUGCUCCUCUGACGUUAGCGGCGGACGGGUGAGUAACACGUGGAUAACCUACCUAUAAGACUGGGAUAACUUCGGGAAACCGGAGCUAAUACCGGAUAAUAUAUUGAACCGCAUGGUUCAAUAGUGAAAGACGGUUUUGCUGUCACUUAUAGAUGGAUCCGCGCCGCAUUAGCUAGUUGGUAAGGUAACGGCUUACCAAGGCAACGAUGCGUAGCCGACCUGAGAGGGUGAUCGGCCACACUGGAACGGAGACACGGUCCAUACUCCUACGGGAGGCAGCAGUAGGGAAUCGUCCGCAAUGGGCGAAAGCCUGACGGAGCAACGCCGCGUGAGUGAUGAAGGUCUUCGGAGCGUAAUACUCGGUUAUUAGGGAAGAACAAAUGUGUAAGUAACUAUGCACGGCUUGACGGUACCUAAUCAGAAAGCCACGGCUAACUACGUG